rnacentral:rRNA from 1 species
GAUGAACGCUAGCGGGAGGCCUAACACAUGCAAGCUGAGCGGUAGAGUCUCUUCGGAGACUUGAGAGCGGCGUACGGGUGCGGAACACGUGUGCAACCUGCCUUUAUCAGGGGGAUAGCCUUUCGCAAGGAAGAUUAAUACCCCAUAAUAUAUUGAUUGGCAUCAAUUGAUAUUGAAAACCGAGGUGGAUAAAGAUGGGCACGCGCAAGAUUAGAUAGUUGGUGAGGUAACGGCUCACCAAGUCGAUGAUCUUUAGGGGGCCUGAGAGGGUGAUCCCCCACACUGGGACUGAGACACGGACCAGACUCCUACGGGAGGCAGCAGUGAGGAAUAUUGGACAAUGGGUUAGCGCCUGAUCCAGCCAUCCCGCGUGAAGGACGACGGCCCUAUGGGUUGUAAACUUCUUUUGUACAGGGAUAAACCUAUCUACGUGUAGAUAGCUGAAGGUACUGUACGAAUAAGCACCGGCUAACUCCGUGCCAGCAGCCGCCGUAACAC